ensembl:lncRNA
UGGGCGAGUUGACAAAUCAUAAAAAGAAUGGUAUAAAAAAACAGCACUUUGCCCGUUAAAUUAAGUCAUAAAGCAUCGCAAUAACGUUUUCCGACGGCCCUGCUGUAGACUACCUAUCUGUUGCAUUUCUACUCUGCCACGUGGAAGGUCGCUUUAAGUUUUCAAAAAAGAAGACGCAAGUUUUCACGAGGGGCACAAUGACAGAAAAAAUACGAUAAAGCGAAGUGUCUGUCUAUGCUCGCGCCUCAUCCGCCUGCGGGGAGACCAGACACCUGCACCCAAGCGUCGCACUUUGCUUUCGUUCUCGUUUGAAAGGAACAUUAUGCAAGUUUGACUUCUCUUAUUUGAACCCGAUGGCUGAAUCUUGGUGAUGCGGAGACCUCCCAAACACCCCAGAGCUUCCUGCCCUGCUUUGCUGAUGCUGCAACGGUACUGUGCUGGACCUCUCUCCUCUUCAGGGAAGCUGUACUCUUGUAUGGAUGUAUGAAAUACUGCCAACUGUAUUGCUGAAGUGCAAACUUUCAAAAUAUCCACGUACUGCUUCUCCCUCCUGUUGGAAGUCAACUGUAGCCUGUUCUUGUGUGUAUGUAGGAAAUACUACCCACUGUAACUGUAUUGCUAGAGUGCAAGCUUGUGGAAUUUCUCCAAGACCCCAUCCUCCUUGUUUCCC